UGAGCAAUCUGCCCUUCUCAUCGGAAUAAGCGUUGGAAACGACGUCUAAUGCCGAAUACGACCUCCUUUCGCAUGGUCGGAGGUGGAAAGCUCCGGCGGAGAAGGAUGAGCUCGCGGCCUAUCAGCUAGUUGGUGUGGGUAACGGCCCACCAAGGCGACGACGGGCAGCCGGCCUGAGAGGGUGACCGGCCACACUGGGACUGAGACACGGCCCAGACCUCCCGUACGGGGAGGCAGCG
rnacentral:rRNA from 1 species